CCCCAACACCCUGCACCCGAUGCCCAUCACUCGCUGCUCUCUGUCCAUCACCUCUCCCUCUCUCCCAUGGCAGCUCUACCCGAGGCUCCUCCCUCCUCUCCGCCGUGGAGCUCGAGCUUAGCACGGGGUGGCUGGCGGCGCAUCUCUCUCCAUCUCCUGUGGUGCAUCUCUCUCCUUCCAGUUCAGUCGGCACAUGCAUGGGGAAGUCAUUGGUGCACAUCGCUCUCCCCCUCCCCUGCAGCGCAUCCCUCUCCCUCAAGCACGAUGGUGGAUCUGGCCCCCAUGCAAACGGAUCGAGCCCUGCAAUUUUGGCGGCAGUGCCCCGAUCUCCACUGGAUCUGCUGGUCGUGGAGGAGGCCAGCCUUGAUCCGCUCUUUGACACAGGGCUGAGGACCCAGCAGCAUGGAGGUGCACAUGCUCUAAAUCCGACAUGGAGGAGGCUGCCCGCACCCGGAUCUGGCGAGAAGGAGGUCGGAUGUGCCUUGAUCCGGCGACACCGGUAGUCUUGAUCCACAGCGAAAGUCGGUAUGGAGGUGCAUGCACCUGCGUGUGGCAUGGCGACCGACGGCGGCGCUAGAUCCAGCUUGUGAGCUGGGAAUGGGCUCGGGAACGGGCUUGCUGUUGGGUUCAUGGAUUUGUUUUUGUUUUUUCAUCGAUUAACCGAGGCGGGUAUUCUAAAGAGCCCGCCUUCAUUAAUUAGUUAACGAUGCGGGCAUGGCAACCGCCUCCAUUAAUUCUCGAUUAACCGAGACCAUUGAUUGGAGGCGGUUGCAAUGCCCAACUCCAUUAAUUCUUUUCA